rnacentral:rRNA from 1 species
AGAGUUUGAUCCUGGCUCAGAACGAACGCUGGCGGCGCGCCUAACACAUGCAAGUCGAACGCGAAAGUGUAGCAAUACAUGAGUAAAGUGGCGCACGGGUGAGUAACGCGUAGGUGAUCUCCCUUUGUGACCGGGAUAACCAGCCGAAAGGUUGGCUAAUACUGGAUAGAGCGCAUGGGUCGUAAAGAUUCGUGCGGGAA